UACGUAGGGCGCAAGCGUUAUCCGGAAUUAUUGGGCGUAAAGAGCUCGUAGGCGGUUUGUCGCGUCUGCCGUGAAAGUCCGGGGCUCAACUCCGGAUCUGCGGUGGGUACGGGCAGACUAGAGUGAUGUAGGGGAGACUGGAAUUCCUGGUGUAGCGGUGAAAUGCGCAGAUAUCAGGAGGAACACCCGUGGCGAAGGCGGCUCUCUGGAACGCAACUGGCGCUGAGACGCGAAAGCGUGGGGAGCAAACAGG
rnacentral:rRNA from 1 species